CAUAGUUAUGCUUCACUUCAGCAGAACAAAUGGCCCCUUCUGACUGUUGAUGUUAUUAACCAGAAUACUUCCUGUAACAACUACAUGAGGAAUGAAAUUUUAGAUAAGCUGGCCAGGUAUUAUAACUGUUGAACUAAUACCCAAUGGGAAGAAUACAAGGGAAGAGCAAGAAAAAAUAAUGGAAUGGGGUUUUUUUGGCAUCUGAACUGGAAGACUUUGAAUGCUUCCUCCUAAGACUGAGCCGUAUUGGAGGUGUAAUACAGGAUACCCUCCCUGUUCAAAACUACAAGACCAAAGAAGGUUGGGAUUUCCAUUCUCAAUUCAUUCUCUAUUGUUUGGAGCACAGUCUGCAGCAUCUUCUUUAUGUCUACCUUGACUGUUACAAACUUAGUCCUGAAAAUUGUCCCUUUUUG
rnacentral:lncRNA from 1 species